GUAUUUCGGAAUAGCGCCUGAAAGGCGGGGGCGGGUGAUUGAUAUCACCCGCCU
rnacentral:misc_RNA from 2 species